rnacentral:tRNA from 1 species
GCCUGGAUCGCAUAAUCUGGUAUUGCGCUGGUCUUGAAAACCAGUUUCCAUUGGAUAUCUGAGUUCAAAUCUCAGUCCAGGCG